rnacentral:lncRNA from 1 species
CCUUUUGGAAUGUCGGCUGUGGAGGAAGGUCAGCUGGGUGCUUUCUCUGUCUCUCUGAGUUAACAGGCUUUCACCCCAGCAUUGGGCUCUUAAGUCUUCAUUAUUAAAAAUCAAACAAAUUGAGAUUUUGUUUUAAAACAAGCAGCUCAGAAAUAGAGCCCUUGCCUGGCUUGUGUGGACUCGGGGUCAGAUUCAUAGCACUCAGCAGGCAUGGAGGGAGGCUCAAAGAAAUACCUUCCAUCCACCACAUUGGGCUCAAACAUUGGUGUUUUCUGUCACAACCAGAUGGGUGGACCAGAAGGGAAGAUGAUGUCCUAGCUCUCUGGUCCUCAGAAGGAGAGGGGACACUGAGCCCCACAGCUGCUGAUGGGUGUCUCCUUGAUUUCAGCAAGAUGACAUCUUCGGUCCUACUGCCAGAGUCUCAGUGACCAUGACAGGCUUGCGGCCCUGUCAAGCUGGUGGAAACUUGGGGUCUUUGGUAAUUAUUAGAGUUUUUGAGCAGCUGUAGGAAGAAGGCAUACACCGGUAGAAAAAAACCACAAAUUUUUCCUGCUCAUUUUCAGUGCUCAUUUUCUCUUCCCUGUGAAUGGAGGUUGGAACCCGAGGCCCUCAGCUCCAGGAAGCAUCUACGGUGGCCUCUGUGGAGUCUCCCGGGAGCUGCGCUGUGGAAACCCCGUGUUUCCUUUAAGGGGGGACUGCUCUGUGCUGAUGCUUUCACACACCCAGGCUCUUAUUUUGCUUUCAUUCUUUAAAUUUUAGAGUGAAAUAACCACAGUACAAAUGCUACCAUGUUAACUUUUUAAAAUUCAGUUAUUCAUUAGGUGUUUGGUGGUUUGGGGCUUUGUUUUAUUUUGAGACAAGAGCUCACAUUACUCAGGCUUUGAACUCCAAAUUGUCUUAACCCCCCAGUGUUGUACACACCAUGCCUGGCGUAACCACUUUUGAGUGCGCAGUCUCUGCAGCCUCAUGUUCAUCCAUUGGGAACUGAGACUACCCACUAUCCAUUUCCACUUUUAAAAAAUAUAUCUCAUUUCCACCUCUC